CACGGGGCGCACGGAGGCCACGUGAUUCCCCCGGCGGGGCCUUCAACCCAUUGAGUGUCCCCGACACUCUGACCCCACUGCCCAUUCCAGGGCCGGGGUCCCCGUGUGGGGUGCUUCCCUUCAACACCCACAAUCACCCAGGGCGGGACCCUUCAUCGUUGCUGACACGGCCUCUACAAACAUUUCAGAACGCGUCAAGUGCUGGCAGGGCCCUUCGGAAGGGAGCGCGCUGGAGCUCGGCAGAGUAUGUGACACAGCGCAACUCCGACACUAAAUAUCUGAAGCCAGAAAUACAUGAAGACAGUCAAAAGUCAGGAAUGUGUUCGGAGGCGGGGCUGCAAAUGCAUGCCUUCUCGGAAUACCGCCCAGUCUUCACCUAGGCGUUCUGCAAGAGCCAGGGGCUUGCUCAGCAAUCGAUGGAUCUCCACAGAUCGCCCGAGGGAUGGAGCCAGGCCCAGACUGGUGCUGACUGGGCGACUGAGAUGCCUCCGGGACAGGCGGCCAGCCGACCGCAGAGUGACUGUGAGCAGGAGUCUAGACCAGGGACCGGGCACCCGGUAGUCCUCCCCAGGGACCACCCUGAGGAACCCAGUCCCCAGUCCUGUCCCUCCCUGGCAUCGGCGCUCUCCUAAGGCCAGAACUCACAGGCGGCGAGGCAGAGGCGGGAGGUGACUGAGGGAGGGCUCUGGGGCAAGAAGGCCUGAGUGUGAACCCUGGUUCCGCCUCUUCCCAGCUGCCCGGAACUCACUUUACUUCUCCGACCCCCGUUUCCCCAGACAUCACGAGAGCACCGCUUCCUGUGCCUGAUGCAAGGGUUAAAAGGACCGAGAGGACCGGCGAGUCCAUCUCUCAGAACCAGGCCAGCCUUUUCUCUAAAACAAGGACGUUUCUUGAACAAAACUGGCCGCACUUGUUUGACAUGGGUCUUUACCACUCUCUGUCAAAAGCCACAGCUUGUAUUUUUUAGACUUUGCCCCUGAAACGUUGGUCUUUUUCUGUGACUCUAACUGAACGACGCUGGCCCGCCUACUCCCGCUGCUGGUUUUUUGUUUUUUUCCAGGAGCAUCCUGUUUUAAGCGAAUACAGAACUAACAGGCAAAUUAAGUGGUAUUUAUAUUUUUUUUCCAAAACAAAUCUCCCUGCACUAAUCGUCGUGUUCAAAGGGAUAACAGGAGGAGCUGGGGGUGUUUCUGGAGAAAAGGGGAGCACAGCUCUCAGGGAGCAGAGGAGCCCACGGUUAUGGAAAUCACCCCCAGCUCCUGUUCCCACAUUUUGCAAGAGGCUUCAAACUCCAGAUGUUCCCAAAGAGCCCUUUGCGUCGCCAGCUAAUCUUUCCGGAGUCUGUACCAAUCCUCUCCUCUGUGCCAAUGAUUGCCCGCACCUGGCAGCCGCUCCCCGCACCUGGCAGCAGGGCAGAACCACCUGAGGAGCUCCGAGCAACCCCCGCCGCCCGUCUCACCCCGGACAGACGGAGGAAGCCGGCCUGUCUGGGGGUGGGAGGCAGGCUUCGGGUUUUAUCUGCUUUGCUUUGGUCUAAAAUCCCCAGGGAUUCUCAUUUGCAACCAAGUGUGGCAACCAAAGCUUUAGCCCAAGGAACGCGCUCGGCCCCAGCCCCCACUCCCCGCGCCGAUGACCUCAGCGGCAAGCAGGGACCUGACUCCUGCGACCGGCUGCGCGAUGUUGAAAUCGCGCAAUUAAACCUUCCGAGGCAUGUU